CUACGGGUCGCUCCAGUGGGGAAUAUUGGACAAUGGGGGAAACCCUGAUCCAGCAAUGCCGCGUGUGUGAAGAAGGCCUGCGGGUUGUAAAGCACUUUCGGUUGGGAGGACUGCUUCUAGCACUAAUAUUGUUGGAAGUUGACGUUACCUUCAGAAGAAGCACCGGCUAGCUCCGUGCCAGCAGCCGCGGUAAUACGGAGGGUGCAAGGCGUUAAUCGGAAUUACUGGGCGUAAAGCGCGCGUAGGCGGCUAGAUCAGUCGGGUGUGAAAGCCCCGGGCUUAACCUGGGAACUGCAUCCGAUACUGUCUAGCUUGAGUACAGGAGAGGAGAGUGGAAUUCCACAUGUGGCGGUGAAAUGCGUAGAUAUGUGGAGGAACACCAAUGGCGAAGGCAGCUCUCUGGCCUGAUACUGACGCUGAGGUGCGAAAGCGUGGGGAGCAAACAGGGUUAGAUACCCUGGUAGUC
rnacentral:rRNA from 1 species